CAGAGGGUGCAAGCGUUAAUCGGAAUUACUAAGCGUAAAGCGAGCGUAGUCGGUUAUUUAAGUCGGGUGUGAAAGCCCCGGGCUCAACCUGGGAAUUGCAUUCGAUACUGGAUAGCUAGAGUUCGGCAGAGGGAAGCGGAAUUUCCGGUGUAGCGGUGAAAUGCGUAGAUAUCGGAAGGAACAUCAGUGGCGAAAGCGGCUUCCUGGACCAGAACUGACGAUCAGGCUCGAAAGCGUGGGGAGCAAACAGGAUUAGAUACCCUGGUAGUCCACGCCAUAAACGAUGACAACUAGACAUUAAGAGGGUAAGCCUCACAGUGUCGCAGCUAACGCGUUAAGUUGUCCACCUGGGGAGUACGGCCGCAAGGUUG
rnacentral:rRNA from 1 species